rnacentral:rRNA from 1 species
UACGUAGGGGGCAAGCGUUGUCCGGAAUCAUUGGGCGUAAAGAGCGUGUAGGCGGCCCGGUAAGUCCGCUGUAAAAGUCAAAGGCUCAACCUUUGAAUGUCAGUGGAUACUGCCGGGCUAGAGUCCGGAAGAGGCGAGUGGAACUCCUGGUGUAGCGGUGGAAUGCGCAGAUAUCAGGAAGGACACCAACGGCGAAGGCAGCUCGCUGGGACGGUACUGACGCUGAGACGCGAAAGCGUGGGUAGCAAACAGG